GAUCCAGUAGCUCGUCUCCAGGGGGGAUGGCCGGCCAGAGUUGGGAACUGAGAAUCGGCCCACCACUUAUAACGGAAGGCAGCAGUAGGGAAUUUAGCGCAAUUGGCGAAAGCCUGACGCAGCAACCCCGCGUGCGGGAUGAAGCCUUUGGGUUGUAAUACGCUGUCAGCAAGGGAAUAAAUUGACUGUACCUGCAAAGGAAGCACCGGCUAACUUACGUGCCCAGCAGCCGCGGUAAGACGUAGGGUGCAAGCGUUGUCCGGAUUUAUUGGGCGUAAAGAGUUCGUAGGGCGGUUGCCUAAGUCUGAUGUAAAAUCCCGGAGCUCAACUUCGGUAUGGCAUUGGAAACUGGGCAGCUUGAGUAUGAUAGAGGUUACGGGAAUUCCUGGUGUAGCGGUGAAAUGCGUAGAUAUCAGGAGGAACACCGGUGGCGAAAGCGCGUAACUGGGUCAUAACUGACGCUGAGGAACGAAAGCCAGGGUAGCAACCAGGAUUAGAUACCCUCGUAGUCCUGGCCGUAAACGAUGGAUACUAGGUGUUGGUGGAUUCGACCCCAUCAGUGCCGUAGCUAACGCGAUAAGUAUCCCGCCUGGGGAGUACGACCGCAAGGUUGAAACUCAAAUGAAUUGACGGGGGCCCGCACAAGCGGUGGAACAUGUGGUUUAAUUCGAUGCAACGCGAAGAACCUUACCUGGGCUUGACAUCUUUGGAACCUCUAUGAAAGUAGGGGGUGCCUUCGGGAGCCAAAAGACAGGUGGUGCACGGUUGUCGUCAGCUCGUGUCGUGAGAUGUUGGGUUAAGUCCCGCAACGAGCGCAACCCUCGUGGUCUGUUGUUACAGGUCGUAAGAUGCUGAACCCUCAGGCCAGACUGCCGGUGACAAACCGGAGGAAGGUGGGGAUGACGUCAAAUCAUCACGCCCCUUAUGUCCAGGGCUACACACGUGUUACAAUGGGAAGCGGACAAUAGGUCGCUUAGCAGCAAUGUUUGGCAAAUCCUUCAAACCGCCCCUCAGUUCGGAUCGGAGUCUGCAAUUCGACUCCGUGAAGUUGGAAUCGCUAGUAAACGCAGAUCAGCACGCUGCGUGGAAUACGUUCCCGGGCCUUGUACACACCGCCCGUCACAACAGGAAAGAGGGUUAUGCCCGAAGUCGGUGUCCUAACCGUAAGGAAGGAGCCGCCUUAAAGGUUGUAGUUUCCUUUUUGGG
rnacentral:rRNA from 1 species